rnacentral:lncRNA from 1 species
UAUUAAUGUGAUUUUUACACCAAAUCUUUUUCAAUGGAACUGUAAAAAUCAUACUUUUUUAGUGCAACACUAAAAUUUGACACCAAAUUUGGUGUGACAUUAUUCACCACAUUAAAAUACUAUUAUCCCAUUAAAACACUAUUUACUUAUUUUAUUACUAAAACAUACAAUUAAAUAAAUGAUAAAAAAAUUAAUAUAUAUAAUAUUAUAAAAUAGUUUUAAUGUGAAGUUUAGUGUUAUAAUUAGAAAAGACUUUGAUUUUAGUGUUAAAAUUACACUAAAAUAAUGUGGUUUUGACACUAAAACAAUGUUAGUAGUUGGAGAUGCCCAAAACCAAAAAGGACAGUAGCGUGGACGUGGAUAACGUAUUAAAUCAUAGCUCGGCGUUUUCUUUCACUUUGCUUCGGAAUUUAAUCUAGAAGAAAACACUCGGCUCGAAUUCUAACUUUUUCUUGCGUGUCCAAGCCAGCCUGACGUUUAGUCAUUUUUUCACUAUCAUAUAGAAAAACGUUAGGAAUGAUUUGGUUGCUGAUACUUGCCUUGCCUGAUCACCCUGCUUGAAACUUGAAUCCAUCUUUAAGAUUAAUCAUUACGCAGUUCUUUAUGUUCAAAAAGCGAUCACCAGCCUUGUUUCUUUCCUCUUUUAAUUCUUCCCCACCUCUCAGCUCACAAGAAUAAACAAUACACCUCUAUUUUCCCGUCUCGGAGCUCUCUCUUUAUACAGCUUAUAGAUAAAGAAUAUCUUACAUAAAACAAUUAAGAUUACAAUCUUAGAAAAAGGCAACAGAACGUAGGGC